CCAUCGGUGGUUCAGUGGUAGAAUGCUCGCCUGCCACGCGGACGGCCCGGGUUCGAUUCCUGGCCGAUGCA
rnacentral:tRNA from 1 species